rnacentral:lncRNA from 12 species
CCCUGAGAUACCAAUCACAGCUGCUUCAUGAGUGCAUAUACUUUUCUCUGAUCCACAGAACCUUGGAUCAAGCUUCCAGUUCCUUGGAUAACAGCAGUAGUCCUGCUUCUUAGCUGCCAACAUUUCUGCAGUCGUUGCA